rnacentral:lncRNA from 1 species
CGUUCUCAGAUAUGCCACCCCAUUGCUCCGUAGGAAGAACUUCCCUGUCUUCUAUGCUCCCAUGGAGGCUGCGAUGACACGGCUCAGAGGCUCAGAGAAACGCCUACUAAAGGACCCAGAGAGUUCAGCUGCUUAUGAAGCAGAAAUAGAGAAGCUAGAAGUGGCUGGUACUGUAAGAAGGUUACCGAUGCAAGAGACACAAGCAGGUGGUGAGAGCUGGUACAUCCCCCACCACAUGGUUCAACAUAACGGGAAGAGACGGAUUGUGUUCGAUUGCUCCUUUCAGUACAAAGGCCUCAGCCUUAAUAAUUCUCUCCUGCCUGGUCCUACAUUGAGCACCUCCUUACUGGGAGUCCUUCUGCGGUUCAGAGAGCACAGUGUCGGCAUUAGCGGUGACAUCAAGGGCAUGUUUCACCAGAUGCUGUUACUGCCUGAAGACAAGCCACUUCUUCGCUUCCUUUGGCGCAGCAUGCGGAUGGAAGAAACACAGCAGGUGUAUGAAUGGCAGGUGCUCCCAUUCGGGACCACAUGCAGCCCAUGUUGUGCUACCUACGCACUGCAGCGACAUGUGUUCAACCACAGCGGGCCCAAUAGUGAAGAGCGGCUUUCCAUAGAGAGGUGCUUCUACGUAGACAACUGUUUACAGAGUUUGUCGUAUACCAGGGAAGCAAGGCAGUUGAUCGACAGUCUAAGAGGCCUCUUGUCCUUCGGAGGCUUUGAAAUCCGCCAGUGGGCCAGUAACUGGCCUGAAGUCAUCAGUCACUUGACCACAGAUGCCAGAUCAGAUAAGUUGGAGCUGUGGCUGGCCCAUGACAAGACAGAAGCACAUGAGUCAACGCUAGGGCUUAGCUGGCAAUGUGAUGCUGACACCUUCAGUUACAAGCACAGACCAGUCAUCUAUCAAGAUAUCACCAUGCGCAACAUCUACCGUGUGUUAGCUAGUCAGUAUGACCCUCUUGGGUUUAUCCUUCCUUACACCACACGGGCAAAGGUACUGGUCCAGCGGCUGUGGGAGAAGGAGAGGGACUGGGAUGACCCCAAUCUCCCUGAAGAGCUUCUGACAGCCUGGCAUACCUGGGAAACUGAGCUUGCAUACCUGCCUCAGAUACAGUUGCCUAGAUGUUACACCCCAGCUGACAUGGAUCAUUCAGACACCAAGAGAGACAUACACAUCUUUUGUGAUGCUUCUGAAAGGGCUUACGGAUCAGUUGCCUACCUGCGGUCCGAAGAUGCCAACGGAACGAUUCAUGUUGCCUUCCUCCUUGCACGCUCCAGGGUUGCACCUCGGAAACCACUUUCCAUACCCCGGCUUGAGCUCUGUGCAGCAGUAACUGGAGCUCAGUUAGCAAAGCUGCUAAAGAAUGAGCUCACCUUUGAGAUCCGCCACCUGGUGCUUUGG